rnacentral:rRNA from 1 species
CCAAUAGCGUAUAUUAAAGUUGUUGCAGUUAAAAAGCUCGUAGUUGAAUUUCGGGACCAAUAUGUCGGUCGUGCUUCGGUACGUACUUGCAUUAGUGGUUUCUCCCUUCUGAAGAACCAUGAUGUCAUUAAUUUGGUGUCUUGGGGAAUCAGGACUGUUACUUUGAAAAAAUUAGAGUGUUUAAAGCAGGCUCACGCUUGAAUACAUUAGCAUGGAAUAAUGAAAUAGGACGUUUGAUUCUAUUUUGUUGGUUUCUAGGAUCGACGUAAUGAUUAAUAGGGAUAGUUGGGGGCAUUAGUAUUCAAUUGUCAGAGGUGAAAUUCUUGGAUUUAUUGAAGACUAACUACUGCGAAAGCAUUUGCCAAGGAUGUUUUCAUUAAUCAAGAACGAAAGUUAGGGGAUCGAAGACGAUCAGAUACCGUCGUAGUCUUAACCAUAAACUAUGCCGACUAGGGAUCGGAUGAUGUUAAUUUUUUAAUGACUCAUUCGGCGCCUUACG